rnacentral:rRNA from 1 species
AUUGAACGCUGGCGGCAGGCCUAACACAUGCAAGUCGAACGAGUGGCGGACGGGUGAGUAAUGUCUGGGAAACUGCCCGAUGGAGGGGGAUAACUACUGGAAACGGUAGCUAAUCCCGCAUACCAUCGGAUGUGCCCAGAUGGGAUUAGCUAGUAGGGGGGGUAACGGCCCACCUAGGCGAAGAUCCCUAACUGGUCUGAGAGGAGGACCAGCCACACUGGAACUGAGCAACGGUCCAGACUCCGACGGGAGGAAGCAGUGGGGAAUAUUGCACAAUGGGCGAAAGCCUGAUGCAGCAAUGCCGCGUGUAUGAAGAAGGCCUUCGGGUUGUAAAGUACUUUCAGCGAGGAGGCGUUACUCGCAGAAGAAGCACCGGCUAACUCCGUGCCAGCAGCCGCGGUAAUAC